rnacentral:lncRNA from 1 species
CGACACUUUAAGUAAAAACAAAGAGAGCACAAUCUUAUAAUCAAGUGAGACAAUAUUUGACUACAAUCCAUGUCACGGCUUUUCAUAAAUUGAUACUAAGAUAUUGUAUAAACUAAUAAGCUAAUGAUCUUGAUUAGGCUCCCUAACAACACCAGAGACCUCAUCAACUAAGUAUUAUUAAUCCUACAUAUUUCCUCUCUUUUUUUUUUAAAGGACUAGUAUUAUUAAAACCAAGGUUCUUACUUCUUAAUUCCUAGUUAAUAUCUAAAACUUCCUUAUAUUUGAAUUAGACAACAAUAAGCUAGUUUGACCAAAAAUAUUGUGUCUAUUCUAAACUUUUCUCUAACAAAAACCUUAAAAUGAAUUUAUUUCAUGCAGCUGGAGCAUAAUCAUAAUCUCCAUCGUCAUCUCCUUCUAACGAUGCUGCAGGAACAUAGUCAUAAUCUCGAUCAUCGUCGUCUCCUUCCAAGGAUGCUGCAGGAGCAUAGUCAUAAUCUCCAUCAUCAUCACCAUCUCUCUCUAAACAUGCUGCUGGAGCAUAAUCAUAAUCAUAAUCACCAUCAUCAUCUCCAUCCAAACACGACCUUCUGAUCUUCUCGAACCCAAUAAUCUUGAAAAUUCCAGACAUUCUAUAAUUACUUAGAGAAAUCUUGAAAUAUGAGCUAGAUAUAUAUUAGAUGUAUACUUGUACCUCUUUUGAUAAGAUGUGAAGAUUAAUGUUAUGAUAGGUAAGGUAACAAAAUGCUUAUAUAUAGGAAAGAGCCAAGUGGGCACCAAGGGCGGCUCAACGCAAUCCUCGGAGGCCUAAAGCGAAAUCUUAUUUAGAAGCCUAAAAUCUAAAUAAACUUCACAUGCAUUUAUUUAAAAUUUAUUUUUCUUACAUUUUAAAAUGCAAAGUAUUACUUAAUAUGUAUUUUUCAUAAAUGAUUUAUUUGGUUUCUUUUUCAAUUAUUAGUUUGGAUAAUAUUUUAUCAAUUCAACGUUGAAAAAUAUAAUAUCAUUUUACUCGGGCAAUCAUUAUAUGAAUUGUCAACAUAGUUCUAUAAGUAAUAAGUUGACAAAUUUCAAAUAAAUAUAAGAGUUAGAACCACAGAUUUGAUUCAAAAAGUUGAUAAUUUAGUAUACCCCCCAUUUUACUAUGCUUGUUGUAAUGCUUGAAAAUCUAAGAGGAAAUGGAUAAAGAAUUUACAAUUCACUUUGUUCAACACUCUUUGACUAUUGAUUGAUAUUUUUGACAGAAAAUUAGUCUAACUUAUCAAAAAUUUAAUGAAGAGUGUAAAAGGAGUUAAAAAGAAUAAAAUAAUGUGAAUAUUAGUAGAGAGUGUAAAAGGAGUUAAAAAGAAUAAAAUAAUGUGAAUAUUAGUAGAGAGUGUAAAAGGAGUUAAAAAGAAUAAAAUAAUGUGAAUAUUAGUAGAGAGUGUAAAAGGAGUUAAAAAGAAUAAAAUAAUGUGAAUAUUAGUAGAGAGUGUAAAAGGAGUUAAAAAGAAUAAAAUAAUGUGAAUAUUAGUAGAGAGUGUAAAAGGAGUUAAAAAGAAUAAAAUAAUGUGAAUAUUAGUAGAGAGUGUAAAAGGAGUUAAAAAGAAUAAAAUAAUGUGAAUAUUAGUAGAGAGUGUAAAAGGAGUUAAAAAGAAUAAAAUAAUGUGAAUAUUAGUAGAGAGUGUAAAAGGAGUUAAAAAGAAUAAAAUAAUGUGAAUAUUAGUAGAGAGUGUAAAAGGAGUUAAAAAGAAUAAAAUAAUGUGAAUAUUAGUAGAGAGUGUAAGAAAAUAAAAUAAUAUUUUCUUGAUUUCUUCUAUUUGAAUGGGGUUAAAGAGAAUAAAAUAAUAAUUUUAAAUAUAUACUUUUUAUCAUAAAUAAUUAAUAUUUUUUUUAAUAAAAAAUUAACACAUAAUUUAUUCUUGAUAAAAAAUUGAGGCCCCUAGAAUUGGAGGCCUAAGGCCAAUGUCUAAUUAAAGUAUGUAUAGAGCCGGCCCUGGUGGGCACUCAUUUAGGCACGUUAGGAAGUGUGGCUUUGACAUGAAAAAUGUGCAAAGCCAUAUGCUUGGCUCCAAAAUUAACUUUACAUGUCAUAGUAUUUAAUUGUUAUAUAUAAUAAUGAGUGUUAAAAGGUUACAUAUUCUCAAUAUAUUUUGGUGGGAAUAAAUUCUCUCUAUCUUGAAUGAGCCAAAAACAAAUUUAGUGUGUACAUGAUAAGUGGAAGUGUGUUUAAUCUACGUGGAUGCUUAGUUGGCAUGCCACAUAGACAAGGUAAUUUGACAUCAAAAGCAUGCAAAGAUGUGUACAUUUUUUUGUGCAUGAGUAUUAAUGUUUAAGAGGUUGACUAUAUUAUAUACCCUUUCAUGCAUGAUUAUAUUUAUGUCUAUACAUUUGUUUGGAAUAGGAUCCAAAUCAGGAUAUUCAUAAGAGUUAUUCUUAGCUUUUGGGAAAAAGAAAUACUCCAAUGCUAUUUUUUCAACUAUAUAUUAAAAAUAAAUUAGUGCAAAGUUGUUUGUUUAUAUCAAAAAAGUCACUUAUAUAUCUUUUUGGUAUUUCAGUUACAAGGUCUUUAAUGGAUUAAUUAUCAGUAUGGACAGCAACAAAAAAUAUUUUAAACAAAAAUGGCUAUAUGGAUAUGUAAUGUAUCAAUAUGUAUAUAUAAUGUAUCAAUAUUGUAUAAAUAAUGUAUAUUAAUCUAAAUAUAUUAUUUAUAUAAUAAAGUAUACAUUGCAUAUCAUUUUUUUUAAUCUCAACCAACUCAAAUCACCUCUAAACAGUCUCAAAAUUUUGAUAUGAGUUCCUCUCAAUGUUUCGAGUUUUUGAUAAAUUAAAUAAUUCACGCGAAACGAUUUACGUUUUUCAAUCCCAACCAACUCAAAUCUCCUCUAAAAAGUCCCAAAAUUUAGAUAUGAGUUCCUCUCAACGUUUUGAGUCUUUUGAUAUACUAUUCACUCAACUCACGUUUGCGGCUGAUCGAGUUUCAAAAUUUGAGCUUCGAAGCUCUUUAGUGGCUAAUUUUAACCAAUAUAUUUUUUAUAUGAGGUUCCAUUGUCUAGUUCGGUGCGUGCACAUUUAUAGACCGGAGGUCCUUCCAGCACCGUGUCAGGUUUUAUGAGGUCCACAUCGAUCCUAGCUUUGAGUCUAACUCACACAUCAAAAACUAGAUCAAAGUUAAGAUAAUUGCCUAAAUCUUAUAAAAGAAACCCAAGAUUUCAUUUAUUUGUCCAUGUGGGACAGUCCAUUCAUCACUACUUCACCCAAAGAAAUUAAUGAUCGAGCCAGAAAGUGAAUUUUAAAAACUAGAUAAAUAUUCAUCCAGUAAAAUACUUUAAAAAAUAAAUCUAAUAAGCUACUGAUCUUGAUUAGAGUCCCUAACAACUGGGUAAUAUAUAAACCUACAUGUGUCCUCGUUUUUCUUUAUAAAAUAAGGACUAGGAUUAUGAAAACCAAGGUUCUUAAUUCUUCCAACUAAACUUCCUUAUGUUUGAAUUAGACUACAGUAAGUUUGACCAAGAAUGUUGUUUCUAUUCUAAAUUUGUCUCUACCAAGAGCCUUCAAUGAACUUAUUCAGGCAGCCGGAGCAUAAUCAUAAUCUCCAUCGUCAUCUCCGUCUAACGAUGCUGCAGGAGCAUAGUCAUAAUCUCGAUCAUCAUCGUCUCCUUCCAAGAAUGCUGCAGGAGCAUAGUCAUAAUCUCCAUCAUCAUCACCAUCUCUAUCUAAACAUGCUGCUGGAGCAUAAUCAUAAUCACCAUCAUCAUCUCCAUCCAAACACGACCUUCUGAUCUUCUCGAACCCAAUAAUCUUGAAAAUUCCAGACAUUUUAUAAUUACUUAGAGAAAUCUUGAAAUAUGAGCUAGAUAUAUAUUAGAUGUAUUCUUGUACCUCUUUUGAUAAGAUGUGAUGAUUAAUGUUAU